rnacentral:rRNA from 1 species
UACGAAGGGGGCUAGCGUUGUUCGGAAUUACUGGGCGUAAAGAGCGCGCAGGCGGUCGAUCAAGUCGCGUGUGAAAGCCCCCCGGCUCAACUGGGGAGGGUCACGCGAUACUGAUCGACUCGAAGGCAGGAGAGGGUAGUGGAAUUCCCGGUGUAGUGGUGAAAUGCGUAGAUAUCGGGAGGAACACCAGUGGCGAAGGCGACUACCUGGCCUGUUCUUGACGCUGAGGCGCGAAAGCUAGGGGAGCAAACGGGG